AUCCGGGUGACGAGUCUCAAAUAGGACGAAACCCGAAUCCUGGAU
rfam:Schistosoma haematobium scaffold583_17, whole genome shotgun sequence.